GACAGAGGGUGCAAACGUUGUUCGGAAUUACUGGGCGUAAAGCGCGUGUAGGCGGCUUUGCAAGUCGGGCGUGAAAUCCCAUAGCUCAACCAUGGAAGUGCACUCGAAACUGCAGAGCUAGAGUCCUGGAGAGGAAGGUGGAAUGCUUGGUGUAGAGGUGAAAUUCGUAGAUAUCAAGCGGAACACCGGUGGCGAAGGCGGCCUUCUGGACAGUGACUGACGCUGAGACGCGAAAGCGUGGGGAGCAAACAGG
rnacentral:rRNA from 1 species